AUUGAACGCUGGCGGCAUGCCUUACACAUGCAAGUCGAACGGCAGCACGGGAGCAAUCCUGGUGGCGAGUGGCGAACGGGUGAGUAAUAUAUCGGAACGUGCCCAGUCGUGGGGAUAACGUAGCGAAAGCUACGCUAAUACCGCAUACGAUCUAUGGAUGAAAGCGGGGGAUCGCAAGACCUCGCGCGAUUGGAGCGGCCGAUAUCAGCUUAGGUAGUUGGUGAGGUAAAGGCUCACCAAGCCGACGAUCUGUAGCUGGUCUGAGAGGACGACCAGCCACACUGGGACUGAGACAGGCCCAGACUCCUAC
rnacentral:rRNA from 1 species